rnacentral:antisense_RNA from 1 species
GGGUGCUUGAGGCUUACUGGCUUCGGGCAUGGGCUGAAGUCCAGAAAGACGAAAGCCCCAGGAGAUGUUAAUCAACCUGAGGCCAACGUAUGAACCUAAGCAAUUCAGAUGUUAGUCUCUUCUUCGCACGGAGGCAAGA